AAAGCGUGCGCAGGCGGUUGUGCAAGACCGAUGUGAAAUCCCCGGGCUUAACCUGGGAAUGGCAUUGGUGACUGCACGGCUAGAGUGUGUCAGAGGGGGGUAGAAUUCCACGUGUAGCAGUGAAAUGCGUAGAGAUGUGGAGGAAUACCGAUGGCGAAGGCAGCCCCCUGGGAUAACACUGACGCUCAUGCACGAAAGCGUGGGGAGCAAACAGGAUUAGAUACCCCGGU
rnacentral:rRNA from 1 species